rnacentral:rRNA from 1 species
ACGAACGCUGGCGGCGUGCUUAACACCUGCAAGUCGAACGGAAAGGCCCUGCUUGCAGGGUACUCGAGUGGCGAACGGGUGAGUAACACGUGGGUGAUCUGCCCUGCACUUCGGGAUAAGCCUGGGAAACUGGGUCUAAUACCGGAUAGGAGCCAUUUUUAGUGUGAUGGUUGGAAAGUUUUUUCGGUGUAGGAUGAGCUCGCGGCCUAUCAGCUUGUUGGUGGGGUAAUGGCCUACCAAGGCGGCGACGGGUAGCCGGCCUGAGAGGGUGGACGGCCACAUUGGGACUGAGAUACGGCCCAGACUCCUACGGGAGGCAGCAGUGGGGAAUAUUGCACAAUGGGCGCAAGCCUGAUGCAGCGACGCCGCGUGGGGGAUGACGGCCUUCGGGUUGUAAACUCCUUUCGCUAGGGACGAAGCUUUUCGUGACGGUACCUAGAUAAGAAGCACCGGCUAACUACGUG